AUUAAACUAUACAUGCAUACCUGCACUUCACCAUCAUGCUGAUUAGAAGCAUCUGCAGAAACUUGUGGGGGGCAUAGUGAGGGUAAUUGUGACAGCAAUCCUUUUCAGAAAAUGAAGGAAACCAGCCAGUGUGGUGGCUCAUACCUGUAAUCCCAGCACUUUAGGAGGCCAAGGCAGGCAGAUCACUUGAGCCCAAGAGUUUGAGACCACCCUGGGUAACAUGGUGAAAUGCUGUCUCUACAAAAAAUACAAAAAUUAUCUGGGCAUGGUGGUGCACACCUGUGACCCCAGCUUUUCAGGAGGCUGAGGUGGGAGGAUCGCUUGAACCCAGGAGGUUGAGGCUGCAGUGAGCCCUGAUCCUGCCACUGCACUCCAGCCUGGGUGAUACAGCAAGACCCUGUCUCCAUAAACAAAACAAAAAAAAUGAGGGAAACUGAGUGUUACAGAGAUCAAUAUUUUUCUAAGAAAACCUAAAAUUGUCUGCUAGUAUGGAAACUCAAGUUUGCUUCAUAGCAGGGUGUGCUGAGACUCUUAUUUUUGAGUUCCUCUUAUACUUGCAGAGCUGGCCUUUUCUUUUUAAACUAUCCAUCAUGACAUGUACACCCUGCCUCUUGGGGUAGUUAGGUGAACGCUUUUGGCCAGGGAAAUGCUUGUCCAAGAAAAAACAAGCAUUGCUCUCUUAUCUGGGUGCCCUUCUCUGGGUAACAUGCCCAAAUGAUACAUUACUGUGUCUCCUCUAUUUCUUCUUCACCUCUUUAAUGCCAACAACAAAGAAUCACUUGCCUUUUGCAAUUAGUCUCAGACAUUUGCUACCUUUAAUGAGUUAUAAAGUCCACCCCGUAUCUCACUUUCCUCAAUAUGUCCUGCUUUGUUAGCAAUUGAAAGUCACUCUAGCCCCUGCCCAGGCCAGGGACUGCCCAUUCUGAAGGGCAAGAACAACUUAGAACUGAGACAUUCAGAGCAAAUCUCAGGUGCCCAGUUUGGAGAGGAAGGCUGAGUGCUGAAUGCUUUCUGAGCAGCAGAUCACCAGUCCCUGAGUGUCUCUCUGGCUAUGUGCUGAAGGUCAGAUGCUGGGACCACUGUGGUGACUAUGCCAAGUGCAGCAGUGGCAGGAUCGGCAGUGUCCUCAGAGGCCAGUGCUGCCUGAC
rnacentral:lncRNA from 1 species